ensembl:lncRNA TTN-AS1 TTN antisense RNA 1
GCGGAAGGUGGGGUGUGGGGCCGGAAGACCCUCCCCCCGCGUCUUCAGAGGAGCGCUGUUUCUGGAGGAGUUAGGGGAAGGAGGCUGCCUGGUAAGCCAGGAAAGGGGCUUCUGGCCGUUCUGUUGGAGCGCCUCUGACUGACUUCCCCCAUGUGUCCGUGUGGCCACACCGUGCUACUUUCAGAGGCAGUGGGCUUUUCGCUAAGGGAUAAAAAGAAGUAAAACCUUGCCUUUAGCGCAGCUCUCCUUCACUGGGCAGAUUGCUCUCCCUCCCCACUCUCCCAGGCCCAAAUUGGAUCUCAGCGCCUGGGAGCUCCAACUUUAGCAAGUGCGAAAUCCUGUCUUCGGUUUUGGAAUUUUCAUCCGCACAGACUAUAUCAGCCACGGAUAGGAUAUGUGAGAAUACCAGCAUGUCAAGGCUGGGAAUCAUCCUUAGGCAUCACCUAGCCAGUCCUGCCUCUCAUUUUAAGGUGAGGAUUCCUUCAUCUCUGUGACUGGCUUGCUUGAUGGUUAGGGUCUGAUCGCUGCCUGAGACACCAUAUCGGUACUCCUCAGAGUUGAUGCAGAGUGUUCAUAUGAGGAGAGACUUUCCCUUGUCUCCGUCAUCUGUGAUUUCACUUCCCUGACAGAAGACGAAGCUUCCAUCUCAGAUGUUUUCUUAAAUGAUGAAACAGCAUACGCCUCUGUUCUUGUCAGCUCAGGGAAAACAGAUCUGGGGACCUCUUCAUCUCUGCGUUGGGAAGCAUAGGUGGUAUAAUCCCCUCCUGUCACGUCCAACGUUGCAUAGUCAGAAGCUUCGCCCUUGUAGUUGGUGCACACAGCACGGUGAUCACAGGAUCUGGUUUGCCACUGAAAGGAAUCUUGAUGCUGACCACUUCACCUCGGAGAGCAUGAACUGCUCCCAUGCCUUCAAGAGUUUUAGUGGGUAACCAGGAUGGAACUGCGGUGUUGCUUGCAGGAGAAGCUUACUACUGGUUUCUACUUCUCCAACCUCAUUGGUGGCUAUGCAGGCACUGUCUCCAGACUGUCUAUAUUCAACCCAGUAUCCAAGAAUUUCUUUACCACCAUCACAUUCAGGUUUCUCCCACUGUAGAGUGACACUAUCUUUGGAUAUUGAAAGAAUCUCAAGUUCUCCUGGUUGGCUUGGUUUAUCUGAAAUAUUUUAAAAUAAUGAAAAGGGAGUCAGCUUUACUGGUGAAAUAAAAGGACCAAACAUGGCUUGCUUCUUUAAUUUAACCCCUUCUUCUGAAUUCCUUACCAAAUGGAUCUUUGCAAACAACUGGUUCAGAAGCAGGGCUGGUCUCACUCAGGCCAACAUCAUUCUGUGCGAUGAUGCGGAACUGAUACUCAGCAUCGGGAACAAGCCCUGUGACAGUGUACAUUGUGGUGGUGAUCUGAGUCUUGUUGUGUCUGACCCACUUGUCAGUGGAUGUCUCUUUGCGUUCGAUGUAGUAGCCUGUGACUCUAGAACC